UUUGGAAGGAAGGACUGGGAGCUGGGCUUUGACAGUCUUUGUGGGUCCCUUCCAACUCAGGGGAUUCUGUGAUUCUCAGUGUAUUGACAGUAAAGAUGCACCUGAGUUUUUUACAGAGGUUUUCUGGAUUGCUUGGUAGCAUCUUGACUGACUGGACCAGAAUCUGUGGAAACUAUCUUCUGGGAGGAGCAGAGGAAGCUUUCCAUGAAGACUUGAGGAUGUGGAAAGUGGAAGCAGCUGGUUUGGGGUGCAACAUAAAAUGAGAGGACCUGCACUUACCUGGUUGAAUAUGCAAAGAGAGGGAAAGGUUAAAUUACUGAACAACCAAAAUGGUGGAGAGGUGUAAAAAGCUACUACAGAAGGAUGACAUGAAUUGGAAGAUGAUGCAGGAAAGAGACCUGAAAUCUUUAGCAUUCCUCCAAGUUCUGAAAAUCUGUGAGAAGUGCUGUCCCCAGUGUGGGUGCAGAAGAUCAAAUCCAUUUCCAGCCUCAGGAGAUUCUGUGUGGGAGAAGAACCCCACAGAUGCCCUGACAGCAGAGCUCUGACAGAGCUGAGAGAGACUCGAAGCUGAGCCUUGCUUGGAGCA